GUGCUCACUUCGGCAGCGCAUGUACUAAAAUUGGAACGAUACAGAGAAGACUAGCAUGGUCCCUGCGUAAGGAUGACAUGCAAAUUCAUGAAGCAUUCCAUAUUUAA
rnacentral:snRNA from 1 species